rnacentral:tRNA from 1 species
CACUAAGAAGCUAAACCGGGAUUAGCAUUAGCCUUUUAAGCUAAAGAUUGGUGGCCCCCAACCACCCCUAGUGA